CAGCAGCCGCGGUAAUACGUAGGUGGCAAGCGUUGUCCGGAAUUAUUGGGCGUAAAGGGCUCGCAGGCGGUUUCUUAAGUCUGAUGUGAAAGCCCCCGGCUCAACCGGGGAGGGUCAUUGGAAACUGGGAAACUUGAGUGCAGAAGAGGAGAGUGGGAUACCACGUGUAGCGGUGAAAUGCGUAGAGAUGUGGAGGAACACCAGUGGCGAAGGCGACUCUCUGGUCUGUAACUGACGCUGAGGAGCGAAAGCGUGGGGAGCGAACAGGAUUAGAUACCCCGGUAGUCCCUGUCUCUUAUAC
rnacentral:rRNA from 1 species